rnacentral:rRNA from 1 species
CGACGGGUGAGUACACGUGGGCAAUCUGCCCUUCACUCUGGGACAAGCCCUGGAAACGGGGUCUAAUACCGGAUAAUACUUCUGCCUGCAUGGGCGGGGGUUGAAAGCUCCGGCGGUGAAGGAUGAGCCCGCGGCCUAUCAGCUUGUUGGUGGGGUGAUGGCCUACCAAGGCGACGACGGGUAGCCGGCCUGAGAGGGCGACCGGCCACACUGGGACUGAGACACGGCCCAGACUCCUACGGGAGGCAGCAGUGGGGAAUAUUGCACAAUGGGCGAAAGCCUGAUGCAGCGACGCCGCGUGAGGGAUGACGGCCUUCGGGUUGUAAACCUCUUUCAGCAGGGAAGAAGCGAAAGUGACGGUACCUGCAGAAGAAGCGCCGGCUAACUACGUGCCAGCAGCCGCGGUAAUACGUAGGGCGCAAGCGUUGUCCGGAAUUAUUGGGCGUAAAGAGCUCGUAGGCGGCUUGUCGCGUCGGAUGUGAAAGCCCGGGGCUUAACCCCGGGUCUGCAUUCGAUACGGGCAGGCUAGAGUGUGGUAGGGGAGAUCGGAAUUCCUGGUGUAGCGGUGAAAUGCGCAGAUAUCAAGGGGAACACC